GUAUGUGGAAGUCUUCAACCGAGGAGUCAUCCCACUGGCAUACAGCAUCAGGAAGAGGAACAGCAGGACUGGUUUGCCAUCCACCUACUACGACGGAAUCUACCUCCUUGUGACAUACUUCACCAAGCCUGAAUCCCUGGAUGCUCUGCAAAUGAGGCUCAAUGCUGACGACGAUGUCAUCCGCUCAACCAGUUUCAAGGUCCGCAAGCGGAAAGCCUUUUAAGAUCAGUUUCACCACCUGGACUCAGGUUUCCAUGUUUUGGGGAAUAUGUUUAUAUCAUACAAGAAU
rnacentral:misc_RNA from 1 species